rnacentral:rRNA from 1 species
GACGUAGGGCGCGAGCGUUGUCCGGAUUUAUUGGGCGUAAAGAGCUCGUAGGCGGCUUGUCGCGUCGACUGUGAAAUCCCGCGGCUCAACUGCGGGUCUGCAGUCGAUACGGGCAGGCUAGAGUUCGGUAGGGGAGACUGGAAUUCCUGGUGUAGCGGUGAAAUGCGCAGAUAUCAGGAGGAACACCGAUGGCGAAGGCAGAUCUCUGGGCCGUAACUGACGCUGAGGAGCGAAAGCAUGGGGGAGCGAACAGG